rnacentral:rRNA from 1 species
GGAUUAGAUACCCUGGUAGUCUACGCUGUAAACGAUGAAAACUAGCUGUUAGGAGUUUUAAAACUCUUAGUGGCGUAGCUAACGCAAUAAGUUUUCCGCCUGGGGAGUACGGCCGCAAGGUUAAAACUCAAAGGAAUUGACGGGGGCUCGCACAAGCGGUGGAUCAUGUGGUUUAAUUCGAUGCAACGCGAAGAACCUUACCUACCCUUGACAUCCUCAGAAGCUUUCAGAGAUGAGAGUGUGCCUUCGGGAACUGGGUGACAGGUGCUGCAUGGCUGUCGUCAGCUCGUGUUG